rnacentral:snRNA from 1 species
GCGUUCCCUUUGGCAGCACAUAUACUAAAAUUGGAACGAUACAGAGAUUAGCAUGGCCCUUGUGCAAGGAUGACACGCAAAUUUGUGAAGCAUUCCAUAUUUUU